AAUAGAUACCCGGGUAGUCCACGCCGUAAACGAUGAGUGCUAAGUGUUAGGGGGUUUCCGCCCCUUAGUGCUGCAGCUAACGCAUUAAGCACCUCCGCCGUGGGGAGUACGGUCGCAAGACUGAAACUCAAAGGAAUUGACGGGGGCCCGCACAAGCGGUGGAGCAUGUGGUUUAAUUCGAAGCAACGCGAAGAACCUUACCAGGUCUUGACAUCCCACUGACCGCUAUGGAGACAUAGCUUUCCCUUCGGGGACAGUGGUGACAGGUGGUGCAUGGUUGUCGUCAGCUCGUGUCGUGAGAUGUUGGGUUAAGUCCCGCAACGAGCGCAACCCUUGAUCUUAGUUGCCAUCAUUUAGUUGGGCACUCUAAGGUGACUGCCGGUGACAAACCGGAGGAAGGUGGGGAUGACGUCAAAUCAUCAUGCCCCUUAUGACCUGGGCUACACACGUGCUACAAUGGACGGUACAAACGGUUGCCAACUCGCGAGGGGGGAGCUAAUCCGAUAAAACCGUUCUCAGUUCGGAUUGUAGGCUGCAACUCGCCUAC
rnacentral:rRNA from 1 species